AACGUAGGGGGCGAGCGUUGUCCGGAAUUACUGGGCGUAAAGGGCGCGUAGGCGGUCAUUUAAGUCAGAGGUGAAAACUACCGGCUCAACCGGUAGCCUGCCUUUGAAACUGGAUGACUUGAGGGCAGGAGAGGGGAGUGGAAUUCCCAGUGUAGCGGUGAAAUGCGUAGAUAUUGGGAGGAACACCAGUGGCGAAGGCGGCUCUCUGGCCUGUUUCUGACGCUGAGGCGCGAAAGCGCGGGGAGCGAACGGGAUUAGAUACCCCGGUAGUCCACGCCGUAAACGAUGGGUGCUAGGUGUAGGAGGUAUCGACCCCUUCUGUGCCGUAGCUAACGCAAUAAGCACCCCGCCUGGGGAGUACGGCCGCAAGGUUGAA
rnacentral:rRNA from 1 species